GGGUAGUCCCACAUCCCCCGCGCCUGGAGGGCCUAAUCACCGAAGGUGCUGAUGAGGGGAUAUGUGUUGCAGCGGACAGGGAUUGAGAGUGCAGGGGAGCGGUGUGAAGGGGUCGGGGUUUGGCAAAGGUGGAAGUGAAGGCGUGUCUCCUACGCCAGGUGUGAUCAUGGAAGAUGCCACCAUUGAGUUGGGUCCCCUGGUUUUACUGGAGAUGAUGAGGCCAAGUGGCAGCACUUAAUUAUUAAAGCAACACUGAGCAGUGCUGGUUUGAAGGUCUGCUUCCUCAGGGUGUGAAUGCUUACACAAGGACUAUGUCUGGAACCAAAAGGAUUUUCUCAGGUGCCUCUUGGUACUUUGUGUCCAGUAAAAAAAAAACAUAAAGAAAACUACAAAAGCAGCAACAACAAAACAGCAGAAUGAUGAAUAACUUGGAUUAAGAAUGAAGAUUUGUGUUGUACCGUCAGGUAAAGAAGUCAGUGAACUGAGGUUCUGGCUAAGGGCAAGGGAAAUAUGGAAGAAGCCACCUGUGAUGUUAUAACCAAUAACAGAAACAAAGACUGUAUGAGCUUUGUAUGUUUUCUCUUUGCUAGCUAUAUGUAUGUGUUUUGUACAUGAAAAUCAUGUUCUUCUCUCUCCAUUAUUUUAUAUUUAUGUAGUUGGAGGUUACAUUUACAAUUUAGUUUCUAUGUAGCAGAACAUUCAGUAGGAUUAUGAUUGAAUUUGAAGACUAUUUAAUACGGUCAGUAGUAGAUAUGGUGACUGUUGGAAGUUCA